rnacentral:lncRNA from 1 species
GGUGUACAUACGUUCGAAACCAACACAUUUUAUAGUUUUUUCAAAGACAUUAUCCAUUUGUUUGUUUGUUUUUCUGUUUGUCUGGUAUUUAAGUGUGUUGAUUUCAACCUGAAUUAUUAAUAAGGGUGUAGACUUUUAAUAUCCACUGUAUGUAUUGUGACAAUAUCUGGUCCCUGGCAAUUCACAGCCCUAAUAGGAUCAGGGUGCCAUUUGGGACUCUGUAAAUCAGGAAUGCUCAUUCAGAACUACAACUAAAGUGUGGAUAGGUUUCAGGACUAUAGCUCUAACUGUAGCACCAUGUCCAUAAUAUCUCUGCUAAACUGAAACACAACAAUAUUUAACAUAUUUCUUACCCUGUUCCAAUGAUAAGUUUAUUGUAUUGUGGCAUUGUGAUGAAAUCAGUUGCCCACUUUGGUUUUCUGUUCACAGGUCUUUCGUGCUGUAUUCAAAGACAGCAAUCAUUAAAUGGAGAGCUCAGGGCUCCAGUAGUAAACAGACCCAUCUUCACGGAUGGUGACGAUGGUUCCAUCAGGGGUAGAGUGGAUGCGCAGAAUGGGUUCUCCAUGGCACAGGGGCCUGACCGUGGCUGGCAGGGAGAACAUCACCUGUUUGUCACGCCACACUGACUCCUUCUUUGUGUUUUCCAAUUGCAUAAAAAAUGUUUUCCUGACAAAGCGGUUUGAACAGGAAGGGCUACAGCACCUGGUCAAGCUGGAGAAAGUCCUACUCUCUGGUCAAGUUGAUGACGUGGUUGACCUGUAUCCAGAGCUACAGUUCCAGUCCCUAAAGGUGCAGCUGGCCAUGUUCACUGCCAAUUAGACUUACAAAACCUGCUCAGAAGUGACAGAAAUCAUGAGGAACAUGGUUUCCGAGGUCCGUGGUCUCUUCAGUCAAGUUGAGGCACUUCUGCGUUUGUUGCUCAUUGUUCCUGCCUCAUCUGCUGAAGCAGAGAGAAUCUUCAGUGCCUUGAGACGCCUGAAGACCUGGCUGCGCUCUUCAAUGUCACAAACCCGACUCAAUAGUGUGGCUAUUUGUCAUGUUCACAGAGAG